rnacentral:rRNA from 1 species
AGAGCGAACGCUGGCGGCAGGCUUAACACAUGCAAGUCGAGCGGGCGUAGCAAUACGUCAGCGGCAGACGGGUGAGUAACGCGUGGGAACAUACCUUUUGGUUCGGAACAACACAGGGAAACUUGUGCUAAUACCGGAUACGCCCUUACGGGGAAAGAUUUAUCGCCGAAAGAUUGGCCCGCGUCUGAUUAGCUAGUUGGUGAGGUAAUGGCUCACCAAGGCGACGAUCAGUAGCUGGUCUGAGAGGAUGAUCAGCCACAUUGGGACUGAGACACGGCCCAAACUCCUACGGGAGGCAGCAGUGGGGAAUAUUGGACAAUGGGCGCAAGCCUGAUCCAGCCAUGCCGCGUGAGUGAUGAAGGCCCUAGGGUUGUAAAGCUCUUUUGUGCGGAAGAUAAUGACGGUACCGCAAGAAUAAGCCCCGGCUAACUUCGCGCCAGCAGCCGC